UACGUAGGGUGCGAGCGUUGUCCGGAAUUAUUGGGCGUAAAGAGCUCGUAGGCGGUCUGUCGCGUCGAAUGUGAAAUCCCGAGGCUCAACCUCGGGUCUGCAGUCGAUACGGGCAAACUGGAGUGUUGCAGGGGAGACUGGAAAUUCCUGGUGUAGCGGUGAAAUGCGCAGAUAUCAGGAGGAACACCGGUGGCGAAGGCGGGUCUCUGGGCAACAACUGACGCUGGAGGAGCGAAAGCGUGGGGAGCGAACAGG
rnacentral:rRNA from 1 species